GAAACUGCCACAACCUAUAUCAGAAAGAUAUAGAGCUAAAUGACAUUUGACUCCUGGAGAUUACUCUAAGGACAUAUACUUUAUAAAGCCCUUGAUUUUCACUUCCCACUUGGAGAGCUAAACAUUGGGGCACAACAGAGUCCAAGUAAUCCUGUUAACCAGCAAGCGUUUAAUGAGUACCAGUUCCUACACUGCACAUCAUAGGUGCUCUGAGGGAUAUUAGAGGAAUGAGGCAUGAUCUCUGACCUCAAGAAGCUUAACACCUUGUAACAGAGACAGAUACAUACGUGAAUAACUAACAUCAAGGGGACUGUGAUGAGUGUCAAAGCACAGGUAGAAACAAAGAGCUAUAUUCAGUCAACAAAUAUUUAAACACAUACUGUGUGCUACUUUGUUGAGGUACAAAAAUAAAUUAGACAUGCUGCCUUUCAGACAACAAUAAAUGGAACUUAUACACGUUCUGUGAUGUGUAGAGACGCCCCAAAGAGGGAAAUAUGAACUGGGAAAGAAGAGAAGUUUCUCAGAGAGGGAAAUCUAGAAGGCUGAAUAGAGGCACCCAGCUGACAGGGUGAAGAAAUGGCAACCCAAUAGGGAGAACCGUGUGUGCAAAAAGCAUCGGAGUACACAGCUCGCUUGAGGACCAGAGCAUCAUAGGACUGUUCUGUCACCCAGCUCAGUAGUUCGUCCACAGAAAGAGACAGUGGGACACAGGAUGAUACAGGGUUGGGAUUUGGUUGGAUAGACUUUGAUUUUUCUACCUAUGAAUUUUUCUGACGGUGGUGCUUUCCAAGAACUCAAAUCCCUGUGGUUGGACGGAGGCUGAGACGGUCCAAGGGGAAGAUCCAACAGAGCACAGGCUGGAUCGAGAAGGAAGUCAAGUCAGGAGGAGGAUGACAGACUGGGGGAAAGCAAGAAACUCGUGGUCUGGAUAAAGUGAAAGAGCAAAGAUGGUGUAGUGGCAGCAAGAGAAGAUGUUGCAGUCAAUGAUUGAGGUGUAAUAUUUCAAACCGCAGCCUGUGUGGUGUGUAAGCUGGCACAGAGGCAAAGGCAAGAGAAAAAGUAGGAUGGAAAGGAGAGAGCAAACAAGAUGAUUUGAAGGAAGAUUCUGUAAAAUGUGUUGACUGACGUGCCCCACCACCUGACCUCCCCUCUACAUCUGCAAGGAUGGAAUCACCGCUGUGUGGUGUGGAAUGACUUCUUAUGGUCCUUCCGUUGCAGACCUUGGAGCCGCCCUGAUGAGAUGAAUGAAGGAACAAAUGGCUUCAAUUAUCUUCAUAUUUUAUAUGUUGUUGAGUUUAAAAAUUCCAAAUGCAUCUGCAAUUAAAAAACCCAAUCAUCCCAAUAUUCCUUCAGUGUGAACUACUUCUUUUAAAAAUUUACCACUCCAUUUAACUUGCUCUCAUUUUCAAUAAAACUCAAAAAGAAAAACUGAACUAAAUUGAUACCGGAGUGGAAAGACUUGUGGCUUAAUUUUGGCAGGGCGGGGUGUAUAUUUUGGACUACAUCUUUCUACCAUAACUACAUUUGGCUGGAAUUUCUGCAAGAAGUAAGACAGGAUAGUGGUGAUGAUUUAAGGAUUUGGAGCCAAACAACUCUAGCUCCGCCAUCAGCUAGCCAUGUUGACUUGGGGCACACUUAUGUAACCCCUCUGAGCCUCAGACUCUGUGUUUAUAAAAUGGGGAAAGAAGGGGAGUUCCCUGGUUGCCUAGUGGUUAGGGUUUGCUUUCACUGUGGAGGUCCGGGUUCGACUCCUGGUUGGGGAACCAUCCUGCAUGCCAUGCAGCAUGGCCAAAAUACAAAAAAUAAAUAAAAAUAAAUUUAAAAAAAUAAAAUGAGGCUAGAAAAGCACCCCUUCAGGACCACAUUCAGUGGCCAGGAUAAUGCUACACACCACUGGUGCAUAGUUCCUGUUCAAUAAAUGUUACAUGCUAUUGUUGGUGCUACAACAAACAGCCCUCCUGGAUAACGAAUGCAAAAUGUUAAAAUAGCUCCAACUAAUUUUAUCUAGGAAAAAGUUACUGGGAGCUGAAGAACAAGAGUACUUUCUUUUGGCAACAGAGAAAACUUAUGUUCAUAAAAAUGAAGAGAAACAUGAUGUUUAAAAUACACUCUUCAAACAAGGACAGCUGAAUGUCAACCAUUGUUGGAACGUUGCCAACGGAUAUAUGGAUGGUGUUAUACUCUUUAAAACAAGUUCAAGGGGCUUCCCUGGUGGCGCAGUGGUUGAGAGUCCGCCUGCCGAUGCGAGCGACAUGGGUUUGUGCCCCGGUCCGGGAAGAUCCCACGUGCCGCGGAGCGGCUGGGCCCGUGAGCCAUGGCCUCUGAGCCUGUGCGUCCGGAGCCUGUGCUCCGCAACGGGAGAGGCCACAACAGUGAGAGGCCCACAUACCGCAAAAAAAAAAAAAAAAAGAAAAAAAAAAAGAAAAAAAUAAAAUAAAAUAAAA